rnacentral:lncRNA from 1 species
UACACAUUCUGCCUGCCUGUGCCCCCGCAAAGGAAAGAGCUCCUUCCACAGCUGUUUGUUCUGGCAGCCCCGAACACCAUAGCAGCCUGAAGCACCACAGCCCAGAAGCUAAGCAGGGUCCAGAGACUCCACAGGUGGUCGCCAAAGGCGACGCUGCUCUAAGUUUUAGGCAAUUGGGAAAAGAAGGCCAUAUCCCUAAAGUUAUCCCAGCGUCGGAUCCGCCACGCUGUUUCCUCAGCCCCAAGGGACGGUUCCGCCUGCAAUCGUUUUCCAACUCCCGGCCAGCUUAAGCUUCAUCCUCGCCUGCACCCCACCUCCAUCCCUUUCCCGGCCACCCGUGAAACGCCUUGAGGAAGCCAUUUUAAACAGUGCUAUCGCGAGAUACACUUCGCAGUUUCCAGUCUGAUUCAUUUACUUUCUUGCGAGAGUCUCUUCUCGUCUGCUCUCGCUGUAGCCAAGGAAAGUGUCGCGAGAGCUGGUUGCCUUGGCUCCCUGUAGCUAUAGCAGCCGCGGCGGUUAAGUAUGCGGUGGCUGGAGCGGUACUGGGAGAUCCCUAGGGAGGACACCGGAACCUUCAGAGGCUGGAAAACGGGUGAUGCAUCCUCAGCAACUCUUCUGUAUUUUUCCUCGUGCUGGUGUUUUUUUACACAACUGUCUGGGGAUGACCCAAGAUGCUCACAGUGGCCCUGUCUCUUGGAGUGUCUGAUGUGAAAAAUGAGGAGAGAGGUAAAAUGAUUGGACAGGCCACCAGGGAGAACAGACACCUGGAUCAGCUUCAAAGCCAGCAUUGUGUCCUGUGGAUGCC